CUUUUCUCGGCGACAUCCUCCGUGUCGGUUCGCGGGAUAAAGGCUUGUGAAUUACUACGUCUCACCGUGCCCUCUGAUGUUAAAAUAUCCCUAAAUAUCCGUGCGAUGGCUCUGAAAUGAUCCUUCCCCAGAAGCAGCUACAGAACCGAGCCGGGCGUUGUAGCUCCGGUGAACACUUUUUCUUGCACUGUUUAUCAAAGAUAGAAAACUCCUCUAAAGAUGUGACAGGAGUUGGAUGCUGUCUCCCUGUUGUUGGGAUCACAGGAAGGAAGGGGAACGGUGGAGUGGAUCAGUAAGUUGGUCAUCUUACUCUGAUAACAAACAUGAAAGACAAUUUUAUGCUUCAAAAGACUGCGAGCAAUUGGAGACCCUUCAUCCUAAUAAUCUUGGGUACGGCUGUUGACCUACUCCAAAUACUAUCUCCUAUCCCUGCAAUGAAGAAAGUGUUGUUGCUAGGAAUUCCAGGCUCCUGGACAGAAUGCCUAGAGAAAAUGGUUUGGUAAAGGACAACAAAUGAGUCAACGGCAGCUGUAAGAUUGGAACUCCAAGUUCUCGCUUCCCGAUUUUGUUCUGAAUCAUGAAUAAUCUUGUAGCAGCUAAAAGG